GACUUUUCCUUUCUGAUUGUUUGCUGCUUAACACGAGGAAUCGGAGGGAAAAGAUCC
rnacentral:pre_miRNA from 1 species